rnacentral:rRNA from 1 species
UGAAUACGAGAUGCUACGGCGUCGAAGCUGUCUAUGUCAUACUUCCAAGAAAAGCUUGCACUGUCAUAAACAAAUAAUGCCUGUACCAUAACCGACACAGGUGGGUAGGUAGAGUAUACUAAGGGGCGCGAGAUAACUCUCUCUAAGGAACUCGGCAAAAUGACUCCGUAACUUCGGGAGAAGGAGUGCCUUAUUUAUAAGGUUGCAAUAACAAGACCCAAGCAACUGUUUAUCAAAAACACAGGUCUCCGCUAAGUCGUAAGACGAUGUAUGGGGGCUGACGCCUGCCCAGUGCCAGAAGGUUAAAGAAGUUGGUUAGCAUUAGCGAAGCUGAUGACUGAAGCCCUGGUGAACGGCGGCCGUAACGAUAACGGUCCUAAGGUAGCGAAAUUCCUUGUCGGGUAAGUUCCGACCCGCACGAAAGGCGUAAUGAUUUGGGUACUGUCUCAGAGAGGGACUCGGUGAAAUAGACUUGUCUGUGAAGAUGCGGGCUACCUGCACCUGGACAGAAAGACCCUAUGAAGCUUUACUGUAACCUGAAAUUGAAAUUGGACUUUAUUUGCGCAGUAUAGGUGGGAGGCUUUGAAGAUAUUCUUGCGGGAAUGUUGGAGCCAUCAGUGAGAUACCACUCUUGUAAUGUUAGAUUUCUAACUUUGUAUCAUUAUCUGGUCAAAGAACAGUUUCAGGCGGGCAGUUUGACUGGGGCGGUCGCCUCCUAAACGGUAACGGAGGCGCACAAAGGUUUCCUCUGAACGGGUAGAAAUCGUAUCUAGAGUGUAAAGGCAUAAGGAAGCUUGACUGUGAGACCUACAAGUCGAGCAGGGACGAAAGUCGGUCUUAGUGAUCUGACGGUGCUGAGUGGAAAGGCCGUCACUCAACGGAUAAAAGUUACUCUAGGAUAACAGGCUGAUCUCCCCCAAGAGUUCACAUCGACGGGGAGGUUUGGCACCUCGAUGUCGGCUCAUCGCAUCCUGGGGCGGUAGUACGUCCCAAGGGUUGGGCUGUUCGCCCAUGAAAGCGGUACGCGAGCUGGGUUCAGAACGUCGUGAGACAGUUCGGUCCAUAUCCGGUGUAGGCGUUAGAAUAUUGAGAGGAGCCUUCUCUAGUACGAGAGGACCGAGAAGGACACACCUCUGGUGUACCAGUUAUCGUGCCAACGGUAAACGCUGGGUAGCUAUGUGUGGAGCGGAUAACCGCUGAAAGCAUCUAAGUGGGAAGCCCACCUCAAGAUAAGUAUUCUCAUC